GGGUCGCGGGGGUUAUAAAGGCGUGCUCGGGCAUGAAAAUGGAAGGCCGGAGGAGGAGAUUGCGGCGGCGGGCGCGCGGGGACGGCGGCUGGAAAUCGCGCGCGUGACCGGCGGCGCUUUCCUUCGUGGAAGACGCGGCUGACAGGUGGACCCCACCUGUCAGCGACUGUGGGCGCGCGCGCGCGGACCGGGCGGUCUGGGCCGGUUCGGCCUAUUUUGGCCGGGCCGGUCCGGUUUACCCCCUUUUUUUUUUCUUUUAGGCCUUUUCUUUUUCUGUUUUUCUCAUUUCUUUGAUAUCUUUUGUGUUUGAACUCCAAAUUGGUCCAAAGAAAUUCCAGAAAAUUUGUAAAAUCAUGUUCUACCAAGAUACAACUUUUGGAAGUAGUUUCUCUUCAAAAUAAAAUAUGUAAAAAUACAUUUGCCCUAUAAAUGCCUUUAGGGCCAUAUAUCUAUUUGAAUAAAAUACUUUUUCAACUCCAAAUAAUUAACCAAAAAUUAUGGGAUAGCUUAUAUAUGCAUUAAACCCCUUUUAUACAUCAACCCCUAUUGGUUUGAAAAUCCAAAGGUUACAGGGAUGUAAACAAAAUCUCUUAAAGCCUUUUGUGAUUCAAAAUUUGAAUUCAAACAUGCAAUUGUGGCAUGAUGCUCAUGGAUGCAAUGCACAUGUAAAAGUUUGAAAUUUUGGGAUACACAAUGCAACUAAUAAAAUCUAGUGCAUAAUAAAAUAAUAGGAUGAUGGUCAA
rnacentral:lncRNA from 1 species